AGCAGGAGGGUGCGAAAGGCAAGCACACCGGUGUUAGUAGCCGGAGGAAGCAGGUUCGAUUCCUGCUCCUGCAA
rnacentral:tRNA from 1 species